GAAAUGAUGAUACCUUUAAUUACAUUUAAAAUCUUAUGAUGUUUUUUAAAUACUUUUUUUCUUACUGAGUAUAUGGAACUCACCCCUUUCCAUGCCUCCUCCAUAUGAGGAAGAUAAUGAGGAACUGAUUACUGACCUACCCUUUGAAGUCUUUGAGGAUCCCGUCGAUCCAUAAACUUCUAUAAGUGCAUGACUUGUCUUGCACUCUGAUGAGUCCUUUUACAUAAUUAUAGAAGUGACCCUUUUUGUAUUAUGAUAUUUUAUAUUUUGUUGGCACUUCUGACCUCAGUUAUAUAUGUAAUUAG
rnacentral:lncRNA from 1 species